AUGGCCUCCUCUACUACCAAGCUCGCUUGUAUCUACUUGGCCCUCAUUCUGCAUGACUAUAAGGUGACCGUCCUCUUAAGGAAGAUAAGAUCAAUGCCCUUAUUAAAGCAGCCAGUAUAAAUGUUGAACCUUUUGGUCUGGCUUGUUUGCAAAGGCCUUUGUAGGGGUUGCAAUCUGCAAUGUGGGGGCUGCUGGACCUGCUCCAGCAGCUGGUGCUGCACCAGCGGAGGUCUUGCCCCCUCCACUGCUGCUGCUCCAGCUGAGGAAAAGAAAGUGGAAGCAAAGAAAGAAGAAUCCGAGGAGUCUGAUGAUGACAUGGGCUUUGGUCUUUUUGACUAAAUCUCUUUUAUAAUGUGUCCAAUAAAAAGCUGAACUUUAAAAA